rnacentral:lncRNA from 1 species
CUAGGAUAUUCCCAACUGAGGAUUUGCUUCAGCUCCGAAGAUUGGCACAAAGAUGAUGAAGUUUGAGUCCCAGAUUUGCAGCACUAUCAACUGAAGAGGGAGAUUCGGACCACUUGUUAAUCAGAUUAUUAAAACCAUCAUAGAGUAGCCAAAGCUUCUCAAAAUGGAACAGCUUCAAUUGAUGACCCUGUCGAGGAAGCACAGCCUUGGUCGAAAGGAGGAGAGGAAUAUGAUCGAAAGUGAUUUGAAGGAGAGAACUGAGAGCGGAUGUGAGAAAAUGACCAUACCAGGAUAAUGAUACCAGGAAUCUAUCAAGUUUAGCCAAAUAGGGGUG